rnacentral:rRNA from 1 species
AGCGGCGAAAGGGACAGUAAUAUGUAGGUACCUACCCCCGGGUUCGGGAUAGCUGCGGGAAACUGCAGGUAAUACCGAAUAAUGUCUCCGGACCAAAGGUGUGAUUCCACCUGGGGAGGGGCCUGCAUCCUAUUAGCUUGUUGGUGGGGUAACGGCCUACCAAGGCAACGAUGGGUAGCGGGUGUGAGAGCAUGACCCGCGUCAUUGGGACUGAGACACUGCCCAGACACCUACGGGUGGCUGCAGUCGAGAAUCUUCGGCAAUGGGCGCAAGCCUGACCGAGCGACGCCGCGUGCGGGAUGAAGGCCCUCGGGUUGUAAACCGCUGUCGUAGAGGAGGAAAUGCAGGGGGGUUCUCCCCUUUGCUUGACCUAUUCUAGGAGGAAGUACGGGCUAAGUUCGUGCCAGCAGCCGCGGUAAGACGAACCGUACAAACGUUACUCGGAAUUACUGGGCUUAAAGGGUGCGUAGGCUGCGCGGAAAGUUGGGUGUGAAAGCCCUCGGCUCAACCGAGGAAUUGCAUCCAAAACUACCGUGCUCGAGGGAGACAGAGGUAAGCGGAACUCAAGGUGGAGCGGUGAAAUGCGUUGAUAUCUUGAGGAACACCGGUGGCGAAAGCGGCUUACUGGGUCUCUUCUGACGCUGAGGCACGAAAGCUAAGGUAGCAAACGGGAUUAGAUACCCCGGUAGUCUUAGUUGUAAACGAUGAGCACU